AUUGAACGCUGGUGGCAGGCUUAACACACGCAAGUCGAACGAGUGGCGGAAGGGUGAGUAAUGCUUGGGAAACGAGCAUAUGGAGGGGGAUAAAUACGGGGAACCGUAGCUAAGACCGCGUACCAUAGGAUGAGCCCAAGUGGGUGUAGGUAGUUGAUGAGGUAAAGGCUCACCAAGCCGACGAUCUCUAGCUGGUCUGAGAGGAUGACCCGCCGCACUGGGACUGAGGCACGUCCCCGACUCCUGCGGGAGGCAGCAGUGGGGGAUAUUGCGCUAUUGUGGCAACCUAACGCAGCCACGCCGCUUGAAUGAGGAAGGCCUUCGGGUUGUAAGGUUCUUUCGGUAGCGUGGCGUUAACUACAGGAGAAGCGCCGGCUAACUCCGUGCCAGCAGCCGCGGUAAUAC
rnacentral:rRNA from 1 species